rnacentral:rRNA from 1 species
AAUAGAUACCCGGGUAGUCCACGCCGUAAACGAUGAAUACUAGGUGUAGGGGUUGUCAUGACCUCUGUGCCGCCGCAAACGCAUUAAGUAUUCCGCCUGGGGAGUACGGUCGCAAGAUUAAAACUCAAAGGAAUUGACGGGGGCCCGCACAAGCAGCGGAGCAUGUGGUUUAAUUCGAAGCAACGCGAAGAACCUUACCUAGACUUGACAUCUCCUGAAUUACUCUGUAAUGGAGGAAGCCCUUCGGGGCAGGAAGACAGGUGGUGCAUGGUUGUCGUCAGCUCGUGUCGUGAGAUGUUGGGUUAAGUCCCGCAACGAGCGCAACCCUUAUUGUUAGUUGCUACCAUUAGGUUGAGCACUCUAGCGAGACUGCCCGGGUUAACCGGGAGGAAGGUGGGGAGUGACGUCGAAAUCAUCAUGCCCCUUAUGUCUAGGGCUACACACGUGCUACAAUGGCUGGUACAGAGAGAUGCUAAACCGUGAGGUGGAGACCAAACUUUAAAACCAGUCUCAGUUCGGAUGGCG